AGCGAACGCUGGCGGCAGGCCUAACACAUGCAAGUCGAACGAACCUUUCGGGGUUAGUGGCGGACGGGGGAGUAACACGUGGGAACGUGCCUUUAGGUUCGGAAUAACUCAGGGAAACUUGUGCUAAUACCGAAUGUGCCCUUCGGGGGAAAGAUUUAUCGCCCUUAGAGCGGCCCGCGUCUGAUUAGCUAGUUGGUUGAGGUAAUGGCUCACCAAGGCGACGAUCAGUAGCUGGUAUGAGAGGAUGAUCAGCCACAUUGGGACUGAGACACGGCCCAAACUCCUACGGGAGGCAGCAGUGGGGAAUCUUGCGCAAUGGGCGAAAGCCUGACGCAGCCAUGCCGCGUGAAUGAUGAAGGUCUUAGGAUUGUAAAAUUCUUUCACCGGGGACGAUAAUGACGGUACCCGGAGAAGAAGCCCCGGCUAACUUCGUG
rnacentral:rRNA from 1 species